GAACACAGAAGUUAAGCUCUGUUGUGCCGAAGAUACUUGGUUGGAGACGACCUGGGAAAAUAGGUAGGCGCCGGCU
rnacentral:rRNA from 1 species